rnacentral:rRNA from 1 species
UGGGGAAUUUUGGACAAUGGGCGAAAGCCUGAUCCAGCAAUGCCGCGUGUGUGAAGAAGGCCUUCGGGUUGUAAAGCACUUUUGUCCGGAAAGAAAUCCUUGGCUCUAAUACAGUCGGGGGAUGACGGUACCGGAAGAAUAAGCACCGGCUAACUACGUGCCAGCAGCCGCGGUAAUACGUAGGGUGCAAGCGUUAAUCGGAAUUACUGGGCGUAAAGCGUGCGCAGGCGGUUUGCUAAGACCGAUGUGAAAUCCCCGGGCUCAACCUGGGAACUGCAUUGGUGACUGGCAGGCUAGAGUAUGGCAGAGGGGGGUAGAAUUCCACGUGUAGCAGUGAAAUGCGUAGAGAUGUGGAGGAAUACCGAUGGCGAAGGCAGCCCCUGGGCCAAUACUGACGCUCAUGCACGAAAGCGUGGGGAGCAAACAGGAUUAGAUACCCUGGUAGUCCACGCCCUAAACGAUGUCAACUAGUUGUUGGGGAUUCAUUUCCUUAGUAACGUAGCUAACGCGUGAAGUUGACCGCCUGGGGAGUACGGUCGCAAGAUUAAAACUCAAAGGAAUUGACGGGGUCAUAGCUGUUUCC